UCAUACGGGAGGCAGCAGUGGGGAAUAUUGCACAAUGGGCACAAGCCUGAUGCAGCCAUGCCGCGUGUAUGAAGAAGGCCUUCGGGUUGUAAAGUACUUUCAGCGGGGAGGAAGGUGUUGAGGUUAAUAACCUCAGCAAUUGACGUUACCCGCAGAAGAAGCACCGGAUAAUUCCGUGCCAGCAGCCGCGGUAAU
rnacentral:rRNA from 1 species